rfam:Pochonia chlamydosporia 170 chromosome 7, whole genome shotgun sequence.
GCCGCAGUCGUCUAGGGGUAAGGACACCAGUUUGUGGAUCAGCGAAGCACUGGAAACCGAGGUUCGAGUCCUCGCUGCGGCA